AAACUUCUUUAUCACCGAGUGCUUGCACUCACCGAUAAAGAGUUGAGUGGCGAACGGGUGAGUAACACGUGGGCAACCUGCCCAAAAGAGGGGGAUAACACUUGGAAACAGGUGCUAAUACCGCAUAACCAUAGUUACCGCAUGGUAACUAUGUAAAAGGUGGCUAUGCUACCGCUUUUGGAUGGGCCCGCGGCGCAUUAGCUAGUUGGUGAGGUAAAGGCUUACCAAGGCAAUGAUGCGUAGCCGAACUGAGAGGUUGAUCGGCCACAUUGGGACUGAGACACGGCCCAAACUCCUACGGGAGGCAGCAGUAGGGAAUCUUCCACAAUGGGCGAAAGCCUGAUGGAGCAACGCCGCGUGGGUGAAGAAGGUCUUCGGAUCGUAAAACCCUGUUGUUAGAGAAGAAAGUGCGUGAGAGUAACUG
rnacentral:rRNA from 2 species